rnacentral:lncRNA from 1 species
GUUGCUUUCAAUGCAGUGACCAGGGCCGCUAUCUUGUACGCGUUCGAAAAGCCGACGUUCGGUUUCGCCUGACGCGAUUGGCCUAUAUUGGCCUAGGCCGCGAUAUCGGCCGGGCCUCGGCAAUCGCGUGAGACGAAACCGAACGUCGGCUUUUCGAACGCGUACAAGACAG